CACGUAGGGUGCGAGCGUUGUCCGGAAUUAUUGGGCGUAAAGAGCUCGUAGGCGGUGUGUCGCGUCGGCCGUGAAAACCUGCAGCUUAACUGUGGGCUUGCGGUCGAUACGGGCAUCACUGGAGUUCGGCAGGGGAGACUGGAAUUCCUGGUGUAGCGGUGAAAUGCGCAGAUAUCAGGAGGAACACCGGUGGCGAAGGCGGGUCUCUGGGCCGAUACUGACGCUGGAGGGAAGCGAAAGCCGUGGGGAGCGAACAGG
rnacentral:rRNA from 1 species